AUUGAACGCUGGCGGCAUGCCUUACACAUGCAAGUCGAACGGUAACAGGUUAAGCUGACGAGUGGCGAACGGGUGAGUAAUGUAUCGGAACGUGCCCAGUCGUGGGGGAUAACUGCUCGAAAGAGCAGCUAAUACCGCAUACGACCUGAGGGUGAAAGCGGGGGAUCGCAAGACCUCGCGCGAUUGGAGCGGCCGAUAUCAGAUUAGGUAGUUGGUGGGGUAAAGGCCUACCAAGCCUACGAUCUGUAGCUGGUCUGAGAGGACGACCAGCCACACUGGGACUGAGACACGGCCCAGACUCCUACGGGAGGCAGCAGUGGGGAAUUUUGGACAAUGGGGGCAACCCUGAUCCAGCAAUGCCGCGUGAGUGAAGAAGGCCUCGGGUUGUAAGACUCUUUGUCUAGGGAAGAAACGG
rnacentral:rRNA from 1 species